UUCAAACCUCUCUGACAGAAAGUGGGAUAGUGGACGUGAGACUUUUUCCACCUUGUUUACCCGUGGAAUGUGAUUCUAAUAAUUAGUGGAAACAACAGAACUGCAAGAAAGAGAUGUUCCCUGAUCCCUUACUAUCUUGGUAGUCACUGACGCCUGGACCAUUAGGUGUCCUGACUUGUCCGGGUUUUGAAGUGGAUCUGGAGAAAAGAACAUGUGCCAGCAUUGCAAGAAGUUGCUGCAGGAGAGGUGGAAACUACAUGGAGCAUAUCACGCCCCAUCAAGCCUGCCACAUUUAAUCUGCCAUCACAGAGAGUGUUGGCUAAGGUAUCGUUAAAAAUGACUGACACCACUUAACU